rnacentral:rRNA from 1 species
AGUGAACGCUGGCGGCGUGCCUAAUACAUGCAAGUCGAACGGAGUGGCGCACGGGUGAGUAAUGUAUAGCUAAUCUGCCCUCCACUAGAGGACAACAGUUGGAAACGGCUGCUAAUACUCUAUAGUGUAGGAUGAGGCUAUAUUGUAUCAGCUAGUUGGUGAGGUAAUGGCUCACCAAGGCUAUGACACAUAACUGGUCUGAGAGGAUGAUCAGUUACACGGGAACUGAGACACGUGCCAGAAACCUACGGGAGUGAGCAGUAGGUAAUAUGGCCCAAUGGGGGAAACCCUGAAACAGCAACGCCGCGUGGAGGAUGACACUUUUCGGAGCGUAAACUCCGUUUGUUAGGGAAGCGGUACCUAACGAAUAAGCACCGGCUAACUCCGUGCCAGCCGCCGCGGUAAUAC